AGGGCCGGUUUUUUGCUGUGUAAUAUGGCUGUAAUCCGCGUGGGGGCGCACGAGCGCUCUCGAGAAAACAAACAAAAAAAAUGGCCAGUUUUCUAGCUCAGUCAGUUCGUUCCAGGAUGGGUGCCGUGACACAUAAACGCGGCAAGGCGUCCCUCCCCGGUCUUGCCCGCGCAAUCAGAGUUUUUGUGCGACAGCCAGUACGAGAUUCUUUGCAAACGAACCGUUUUGAUGGAACCUGCGAGAAAAAGGAAACAUUCCCCAGUGUGGGAACAUUUCCCCAAAUCAGGUGUCCCUGAUGGUUAAGAUGCAGAAAGAAUAAAAUCGGAACCCGUUUAUUGGACCGAAUAACACAAAGCAACAUAUGUACAAGAACAAAAACAUAUGUAUUUUGAAUCACUUCACUGGUUGUUGGAAUAAUUUAAGUAAAGCCUUGUCAUUUAUUAGUUUAUGGCUUUCCUUUCAUCUAGGUUCUUUCUCUUUAGUGACAGGGAAGUCUUUUGAUCUCUGUCAGCCAUAUGUAACCUUCCUGUCCUUAUGUUAUCUGUGUGUUUUUGUUUCUGUAAGAAGCCUUCACUAACAAUGAGCAGAGCUUAUUUGCAUAGGCGGAAUGUUCUUAUUUGGUUGAAAGAAACUUCAUUCCUUUUAGUUAACUGUAGGUUUGGUUCAUAGAUGGUUACAAGUUAUCCCAUAUUUACUCAAUGUUUGUUAAAGUGUUUAGGACAAGUCACUCAUUCUUAUUACGUGUUAAUUUACUAAGUAGAUAAAGUCUAGCCAAGGUUUAGUUGCAUUGUUCCACAGGAGUUAUCUGAUCUCGCUCGCGGACGACUCGGCCAACAACUGGAGGAGAACAGAUGGACAAACUCUGCGGGGGUCACGGGCCGACAAUGAAGUGCGAAUUCACACCACACUACAUUCCUUAGCUAAUCAGCGUUGCUACAGACACAAUCUCCCCUCCCUUUAGUGUAGCAACGCCUCUGUAACCAGGGAAACCAAAACAUUAAAUAGAGGAGCACGUGGAGGGAGAACUCAGAAUUGAUGGAGAUUGUAACCGAGUUUCCUCUCUCUAUCGUUCUCCUCGCGAGUAAACCUG